rnacentral:tRNA from 1 species
GGGCUCGUAGUUCAAUGGUAGAACGCCGCCCUUGCAAGGCGGAGGCUGUGGGAGAGUUUCAAACUCCACGAAUUCAAAUCCCACCGAGUCCA